rnacentral:rRNA from 1 species
AUUGAACGCUGGCGGCAGGCCUAACACCUGCAAGUCGAGCGGUAGAGAGAAGCUUGCUUCCCUUGCGAGCGGCGGACUGGUGAGUAAUGCCUAGGAUUCUGCCUAGCGGUGGGGGAUAACGGUCGGAAACGGACGCUAAAACCGCAUACGUCCUACGCGAGAAAGCGGGGGAUCUUCGGAUCUCGCGCCAUUAGACACGCCUAAGUCGGGUUAGCUAGCUGGUGAGGUAAUGGCUCACGAAGGCGACGAUCCGUAACUGGUCUGAGCGGAUGAUCAGUCACACUUGAACUGAGAUCCGGUCCAGACUCCUACGGGAGGCAGCAGUGGGGAAUAUUGGACAAUGGGCGAAAGCCUGAGCCAGCCAUGCCGCGUGUGUGAAGAAGGUCUUCGGAUUGUAAAGCACUUUAAGUUGGGAGGAAGGGUAGUAACCUAAUACGUUGCUACUUUGACGUUACCGACAGAAUAAGCACCGGCUAACUUCGUGCCAGCCGCCGCAGUAAUAC